AUUCUGCCCAAGCGGGGAAGGAUGAGAAGCUUCGACCAAGGUUCGACUUGAGCGCCAGCGAGAGAGCGUUGCCGCAGGCAACGACCCGAAGGGCGAAGCGCGCAGCGCUGAGUAAUCCUUCCCCCACCAUCA
rnacentral:sRNA from 1 species